AUUAUAGAGGACCAUUAUAGAGGACCAUUAUAGAGGACCAUUAUAGAGGACCAUUUUAGAGGACCAUUAUUGAGGACCAUUUUAGAGGACCAUUUUAGAGGACCAUUAUAGAGGACCAUUAUAGAGGACCAUUUUAGAGGACUAUAAUAGAGGACCAUUAUAGAGGACCAUUAUAGAGGACCAUUUUGGAGGACCUUUAUAGAGGACCAUUUUAGAGGACCAUUAUAGAGGACCAUUAUCGAGGACCAUUAUCGAGGACCAUUAUAGAGGACCUUUAUAGAGGACUAUUAUAGAGCACCAUUAUAGAGGACCAUUAUAGAGCACCAUUAUAGGGGUCCAUUUUAGAGGACCAUUGUAGAAGACCAUUAUAGAGGACCAUUAUAGAGGACCAUUCUAGAGGACCCUUAUAGAGGACCAUUAUAGAGGACCCUUAUAGAGGACCAUUAUAGAGGACCAUUAAAGAGGACCAUUAUAGUAGACCAUUAUAGAGAACCAUUAUAGAGGACCAUUAAAGAGGACCAUUAUAGAGGACCAUUGUAGAGGACCAUUAUUGAGAACCAUUAUUGAGGACCAUUAUAAAGGGCCAUUAUAGAGGACCAUUAUAGAGGAUCAUUAUAGAGGACCACUAUAGAGGACCAUUAUAGAGGACCAUUAUAAAGGACCAUUAUAGAGGACCAUUAUAUGUUAAAAACGAACGUCUACUAUAUAUGGUUAUCCAGUAUCCAGUAGCCAGUAUCUAUUGCGUUAUUCAACUAGUGGGUAACGAACGAACGAAUUUUUUUUUAAUAUUUAUGAUUUUGUCAUUCUGUUCUUUGGUUGAUUUAUUUGUACUAUUUCAGAUAUUCUGGGUGGAUGUACUGGUACUAUUUGGGUUCUUCAUCCUACUCAGAUUUACAGGGUACUUUGUACUCAAGUUCAAACUACAUAUGGACAGCAGAUAGAUAGAAAGAUACUCCCAGAGCCCGAAAUUUAAAAGAUUUUGGGCUCUGGAAAAUAUGUACUCAAUAACCUCCUUGGAAAAUAUGUACUCAAUAACAGCAUUUGUAUAGUGAAAGUAUUAAACAUAUCACUUCAGUGACAUCGUUGAAAGGUCGUCAUAGAAAAAGCGAAAGUUCCAUUAGAUUUUACUUAAUUUGGACUAUCUCCUUCUGUUGUCAUGAAAGUGAUACGUUUACUGACUCUCUCUGUAUUAAAUAUACGAAAUCUCAAAAAACGAUAUGAAAUUUCGCUUUAAAAAUUCGAGAGCGUUUUUCAAACCAACCAUUUUGUUUGAUUUACAGUAUUAUCUAAUGAAUUAUCUAUGAAGAAACCUACGAUCUGCUAAACAUUUAUUCUAGUAUUCGAUGUCUUUCCAACUUAAUAGAAAUAUAUAAAGGGACUGUGGGAGAAAUUUUAUUUAGCCAUCAGCUCAAAAAAGUUGUCCGAUUAACCUUUUUGAACUUUUGAAUCUGCAGGGUAUGACUCAUGUAUAUAAAAUGGGUUACUUGUACUUGUACUUGUACUUGUACUUGUUCUUGUACUUGUACUUGUACUUGUACUUGUACUUGUACUUGUACUUGUACUUGUACUUGUUUUGUUAAUAAUGUAUGUUUAUUAUGUCUUGUUUUUGUUGCUACAAUCUACAUUUGUAAAUUGUUAAUAAUUGUCAUGUCUACUUAUCGGAAGAAAAUCCAAACAACAAGUCUAUAAAAAUGUUGUUUGAACAGUUGAAGCCAAGGAUUGAAGCCAAUCUGAAAAUCAGUAAAGUUAAAAGACGCCCCACUUUCACAAAAUUGUUACCGCUCUCAAAUAUUGAAAUUAUCGCCUUAAAACUGUUUGAAUAGAAUCAGAGACCCAUCCUUUUAAAGGUUAUAAUUGGUUGGUUCAAAAGAAGAUGAACCUAAAAACUUUUUCAAAAUACUCUAGAAUAAUUCUCGGUCGGUAAUGCAAUUCUUGUUUAGCACGUGGCAAAGAUUUGUUUUUAUAUUUUAUAAACAGUUUUUUGUUUCUCACUGGAGAAAUGCCUGGUAUCUUGGUUAUUGUUAAAAUUUACAACUAGGUGUACAAAAAAAAAUGUUUUAUUAGUUGAAUUUUUUUACUUACACCCCUUUUUGUUGCCAUUUACACAUAGAUAGAUUUGCAUUUACAAUUUACUAUAAUAGGGACUUCGGCGUAAUUUCAAGGGUAAACUCGAGUUUUUCGGCAGUCAAUUUUCAAAUAAAUGAUUAAGAAUAUCUAAGUCACCGUUGAUCAAACAGAGGAUUAAAGGGAUUAGACAUGCCAUUCCAUAAAUGGAGGAUCACUUGAAAUAACGCCUACAGUCCCUUUAAAGUCUUAAGUUUAGUCCUAACUGUGAUAAUGAAUACUUGAUUUGUUUACAUUAAACAGGUUUAAUUUAAACCUUUUAGAAAAUUUGAAUCCUCAUGUAUAGAUUGUAUAAUUUGUUGGAGUGACUAAGUAUAUGUAUCUGGUUAGUAUAUGUUUGUUACCCUUUAGAUUUAGUCAAUAAAUUUAGAAAAAAUG